rnacentral:tRNA from 1 species
GGAGAGGUGGCUGAGUGGCUGAAGGCGCUCCCCUGCUAAGGGAGUAUAGGAGCAAUCCUAUCGAGGGUUCGAAUCCCUCUCUCUCCG